GGCAAAAACCACCUGUUAAACCCCAAUCGAGAUCAAAUUUGAAGUUCCCAUUGAUUCUCAAUAGAGCUUAACUAGUUGCUCGCUGCAGAGAAGAAAUGGCGAAUUUGCGAAGGGCACUUCUCUUCACCAUUCCUCGAAUCAUCAAUUCCUCUAAAACAGCAUCUGUUGCAACCUCCACACUCCAGUCUCACAAUCUCUACAGGCCUUUAGCUGGAACAUUUUCGCGUUUUAUUUCUUCUAAUGAGACUUCAUCGCCGAUGAAUAUCGAUCUUUCCGACGAAGAGAGCAAAAGACGUUUGUUUAACAGGCUUAUUUAUCGUAGUAAACAGAGAGGUUACCUGGAGCUAGACCUUGUUCUUGGAAAAUGGGUGGAGGAACAUAUACAAUCCAUGGAUGAAAAUGGAAUUAAGUCCCUUGUUCAUGUCCUUGACCUGGAGAAUCCAGAUUUGUGGAAGUGGCUGACUGGUCAGGAGCAACCCCCAGAUGCAAUAAGCACAAAUCCUGUGUUUUCUGCUGUGCAUGAAAAGGUUAUGAACAACCUUAACAAUCAUACUUCUCCCGAGACUCGUGCUGUUCCAGGAAAACCUUGGGUGAGAGGGUGGGAUGAUAUCAAGAGAGGCCGUGAUGCACCUAUAGCUGGGAACCAGUAGUUAUUUUUCUGCUUGAAGGUGUCAAAGAAGAACUGAUUUGUAGUCUUGUAUAGGGACUCGUUAUUACUAUGUAUGCGUUUUACUCAACAAAUAAUAGGAUGUCAGUUCUGUUUGAAUAAGACCUCAGUAAUGUGAUGUUAGAUGCUGAGUGCUAGCCUUACCUGCACCCAUAUUCUUAUAAUAGCUUGAUUGCUACAUAACUAUUAUUCUUAUAUUAUAAUAGCU
rnacentral:misc_RNA from 1 species